rnacentral:rRNA from 1 species
UACAGAGGGUGAGAGCGUUAAUCGGAAUUACUGGGCGUAAAGCGCGCGUAGGCGGCUUUGCAAGUCGGGUGUGAAAUCCCCAGGCUUAACCUGGGAACUGCAUUCGAGACUGCGUUGCUAGAGUAUGGGAGAGGGAAGUGGAAUUUCCGGUGUAGAGGUGAAAUGCGUAGAUAUCGGAAGGAACAUCAGUGGCGAAAGCGACUUCCUGGACCAAUACUGACGCUCAUGUGAGAAAGCGUGGGGAGCAAACAGG